rnacentral:lncRNA from 1 species
CUAUAGUGGUAAGGUAAGCGAGAUCAUAAAAUAUAGGAGAUAAAACAAAUUCAAGACAUUGCACUCUCAAGGUGAAAAUGUAGGUUCAAACCUUGGAGGCGACAUUGUUGGGAGGACAGCCACAAACCCGAACAUGAACCAUGAAACGAACAUGAGGAAUACAAAAAAUGAUCCACUGUAUUUUUCUUAUAAUUGGACCAUUC